rnacentral:rRNA from 1 species
UUGGGUUAAGUCCCGCAACGAGCGCAACCCUUGUCUCUAGUUGCUACGAAAGGGCACUCUAGAGAGACUGCCGGUGACAAACCGGAGGAAGUGGGGAUGACGUCAAGUCCUCAUGGCCCUUAUGGGUAGGGCUUCACACGUCAUACAAUGGUGCAUACAGAGGGUUGCCAAGCCGCGAGGUGGAGCUAAUCCCAGAAAAUGCAUCGUAGUCCGGAUCGUAGUCUGCAACUCGACUACGUGAAGCUGGAAUCGCUAGUAAUCGCGGAUCAGCAUGCCGCGGUGAAUACGUUCCCGGGUCUU